AACUGAUGAUAAAAGAAGAUUUUGCAUGGUGGUGUUAGAACAUCUGUUUCUGUGAUUCAAUGGAAAAAACACUUCAUGAGAAAACAGAGUAAUGGAAGCCAAUGACAACUUCAGCUACGGUCCCAGUGCCUUCAUGGGAUGAGACUGCCUUGCAAGCAACUAAGGAAGAUCCAGAAAUCUUCAAAAAGUAGCAUUAAACACUAUGCUAGAACUAUUGAUCAGUCUUAAAAUUAAUAAAGCCCCCAAAACUCUACAGAAACAA